rnacentral:rRNA from 1 species
CCCUUAGAGUUUGAUCCUGGCUCAGGACGAACGCUGGCGGCGCGCCUAACACAUGCAAGUCGAACGAGAGAGAGGAAGCUUGCUUCCUCAAUCGAGUGGCGAACGGGUGAGUAACGCGUGAGGAACCUGCCUCAAAGAGGGGGACAACAGUUGGAAACGACUGCUAAUACCGCAUAAGCCCACGGGUCGGCAUCGACCAGAGGGAAAAGGAGCAAUCCGCUUUGAGAUGGCCUCGCGUCCGAUUAGCUGGUUGGUGAGGUAAUGGCCCACCAAGGCGACGAUCGGUAGCCGGACUGAGAGGUUGAACGGCCACAUUGGGACUGAGACACGGCCCAGACUCCUACGGGAGGCAGCAGUGAGGAAUAUUGCACAAUGGGGGAAACCCUGAUGCAGCGACGCCGCGUGGAGGAAGAAGGUCUUCGGAUUGUAAACUCCUGUUGUGAGGAAGAUAAAGACGGUACUCAACAAGGAAGGACGGCAACUCU